AAACCAACUGGGAUUACCUUAGUAACGGCGAGUGAAGUGGUAAAAAGCUCAAAUUUGAAAUCUGGUACUUUCAGUGCCCGAGUUGUAAUUUGUAGAAUUUGUCUUUGAUUAGGUCCUUGUCUAUGUUCCUUGGAACAGGACGUCAUAGAGGGUGAGAAUCCCGUUUGGCGAGGAUACCUUUUCUCUGUAAGACUUUUUCGAAGAGUCGAGUUGUUUGGGAAUGCAGCUCAAAGUGGGUGGUAAAUUCCAUCUAAAGCUAAAUAUUGGCGAGAGACCGAUAGCGAACAAGUACAGUGAUGGAAAGAUGAAAAGAACUUUGAAAAGAGAGUGAAAAAGUACGUGAAAUUGUUGAAAGGGAAGGGCAUUUGAUCAGACAUGGUGUUUUUGCAUGCACUCGCCUCUCGUGGGCUUGGGCCUCUCAAAAUUUCACUGGGCCAACAUCAAUUCUGGCAGCAGGAUAAAUCAUUAAGAACGUAGCUACCUCGGUAGUGUUAUAGCUUUUGGAAUACUGCU
rnacentral:rRNA from 1 species